rnacentral:rRNA from 1 species
UUGGACCUGAUAUCAGGCAAGAUUACCCGCUGAACUUAAGCAUAUCAAUAAGCGGAGGAAAAGAAACUAACAAGGAUUCCCCUAGUAACGGCGAGAAGAAGCGGGAAGAGCUCAAGCUUAACAUCUC